GGAUAUAGAUCAGUUGGUAGAGUGCUUGCCUCACAUGCACAAAGUCCUGGGAGUUCAAUCCCCAGCACCA
rnacentral:tRNA from 1 species